GCAAGUGUCAAACUCUGACUAAGACAGCAGAGGGGAAAAUAGGUCCAGACUGACUUCCCAUGAGAAGCCCUGUUCUAAUCUAAACCAAAGGCUAGGCGCUGGCGCUUUCUGUGAUCCGGCGGUUGCUUGUAGUUGAGCGGGAUUAAGGCCCAUCCUUGUCAUCCCAUAGGGCAGAGUGGUUUGACUGACAGCCGGGUUCAGCGUCUUGACACAGGAGGCUGCCUCACUGCAAGGCCUCUCAAUCUGGGACAAAGAUACGAUUCAGAAGAUCCUGACAACCCGGUACCAGAGAGGUUCUGGAGGGCAGCGACCCACACUCUGUCCCGCAGUGAAGGUGUCAGCAAACGGCUCAAGUGAUCCUUCCCUCCACUAAAAUAUAGGCGACGACAGAUGCUGACAUCUUUGGAGAUGAUUGAUUCACCCCGUCUGGCCAGAGAGGAGUGGAGAGGAGAGCGGAGCUGGAUCCUCCCCGGGGCUGCAGCUUCCUGCCGCCCUGCCAUGGCACCACCAGUGUCACUUCAACCAGCGAUGGAGCCCGCCACCCCCACCCACCCACCCCACCUCCAUCACCUCCCAGUUCCCCGUCUCUUGUCUCCAGCAAGCUGCCGCAAUCAGCACAGGCCCUGAUUGGACUUGGGCAGGUUGAUCAGCAGCUUAACAGAUCAUGGAGAGUGAAAAUCCAGACGGAUGUCGGGCCAUGUCUCCAGCUUAACAGAUCAUGGAGAGUGAAAAUCCAGACGGAUGUCGGGCCAUGUCUCCAGGACAGAUUGGGAAGCCGUGAUGGCGGCACAGAAGUUGAGGGAGAAGCUAUUUAUCCCAGACGGAUCAGGAGGUGUGUGACGGAGGUGUGGACGGUUGCUGCAGGUCAGUGACGUUGGCAGGCGCCAGGCAGGCCGGCCCACAUGGCUCGGGGACUGUGGGACUACAGACAGAUGGCACCUGCUGACUCAUCAGACACGAGUAACAUCUCGUCAAAACUUGUGCGCUCUCCCUGACCUUGGCCAACAGUGGUGUGCUGAAAACAGCCCGGGUGUGAGGGGAGCGCUUGAAAACGAGCGGAACAGCAGAACGCGCUGAGGAAUGGAGCAGUGCAGGUGCGGAGCAGCAGAGGAGGGGAUGCUGUGGAGCAGGAGGAGGACUUGGCAGCGAGGCGCUGGAAGGUAAAGCCAGAGCAGAGCGGCCCGAUCGGCCUGCAGCCAGCACACGUGUGAUAGCAGAACCUUGUGUUCUAUACAGAGCAGGUGCAAAGGCCUUGUCUCCUCUCUUUUCAUCCACCCCUCCCGCUCAGCGGUGGAGCUUGGCUCUCCGUUUCCUGUUUCUCUGAGGUUCAGCCUUUUGUCCUCCAGGUGAUACACUCCUCCCCGUCUCUCUGUCCAUCUCUCCACCACCCCCUACCACCUCCACCUCCUCCUCCUCCUCCUGCUCUCUCUGCCCGUAUCAUACUUCAUUUGCUCCAGAUAACACAUCAGCUUCAACGCCCAUCCACAAACUCUGUCACCAGGAUGCCCACAGAUGGCAACUUCCUGUGGUCCUGCCCAGUGAUUGGUGGAGCGACUUCCAAACAGAGAACAGCUGAUUGUGUUAGGUCUCCUUGUUAGUCGAGAAGGAGAGCUCCACACUUUCAACACCAGAGGGAGCCAUUUCACAGCCAGAAGAGCCACAAGUCUUCUUCAUGCUGUAGCAACACCUGUCAUGAAAUGCUACAUGGACACUGGAACUUUCACCAGAAGGGAAGGAAGGUAAGCAGUAAUAAAUGAGUUUCUUUAAAACAUUAGAAUGGCUACGAAUGGAUGUGACAGACAAACAUACUGGAACUAUUUGUUUAUAAUGAAAUGGUUUCACAUUUUUCCUUUACCAACUUAACUAGGGUUGUCAAAAAACGAAAAAAGUGACAUUCCCUACAAAAAUGAAGAAAAAUGGUGAAAUACAGUUUAAACUUUAAAGCUUUAUAACUAGAAGACGUAACAGAGAAGGAAAUGUCUAGUUUCUGAAUGAUUCCCUGAUUAAAUAAAAACCAUAGGUAACACCGCAGAUAAGGACACCCAUCAACUUUUAACUCAUUGCUUAUUAGCAUGCACAUUCGUGGUUUAUUUGCUCUUUAUUUGUGAUUAUAAAACAGUUAUUAAUGCCUUAUUCUCCAUGACUGUAUACUGCAAAUAGUAGUUAACUGACUCUAUCACUGCUUAUUGAUAGCCAUUAAAGAAGCAGUUGUACAUGUCAUGAAUUAUAAGGUGAUCAAACCACACGAACAGUUAAUUAAUAAAACUUAAGUUAUUGUCUAUUCUUAUGUAACAAAACAAAACUGUUAAUUAAACUAAGUAAUAAUACUGUCCAAAUAGAUAAAUGACCCACUGCAUUGCUAAAGGGUAAGUCCUCCAAUUUCACACAUUUAAGUGUUUAGAGGUCUUGAGCAGAACAACCAUACAUGUCACUUAGUAGCUGAUUUGCAUUCUGGGUAAUGUUAGCACCAGGGGAAUGACAAGUGAUCAAAAUCAAUUCAGCAGAACCAGAGAAAUCGCCCCUUUUUAUUACACGCACGUUUCCUCCUUUAAAAAUCUAGUGCCUACAUUACCCACAAUGCAACAUAGUCACUGAGCGAGUCUCUGGAGCCACAACAAGCUUUCCACCAUUUACUUUCACAUACAGUAGUACUCCUCAAGACCUGUGAAAACACUUUGCGUAAAAUUGGUGGAGCUACCCUUUAAAAGAUGUAAAAAGGUAGGCAUACAUAAUCCAGAGUUUCCUUAAUUGUACAAUUUCCUUUCAUUACUGUAAAAAGAAAUUAUUAUGAUCUUAUGUGAAAAUAAAAAAUAAAAUACUUUUUUUUUUAACAAAUUUACCCUCAACUUUGGUCCCUGGUGCUCACAUUGGUCAGCACUGCUUUUACUUAUAUUCUUCCUAACUCUAUUUUCCCCAUGUUAAAGUGAAAGUAGAAGCUGUGUAGAUUAAUAAGUGUCAGUGUCUACUAGUAGUCAUAGUUUAAGAAUCUGGUCAUGCAGAAUGAGGCAAUAAUAAGCGCUCUAUAGUGGCUAAUGAAGAGCCAAUGUGCUACUUAUAUACAUGCUAUUAGGCACCAUGUGUUCGCUGAUCUAAAGUGUUACCAGACCAUGAUAUGCUCAUGUAUGCUGACAUUCAGCAACUUCCACUAUAUGAACCUAACCAAGACACACAACUGAUUAUGACCAAUCGAUAGCCUUUUAAGAACGGUAAUGUACAAACUUGCAUAGAUAAAGUGAUAUAAUAGAGAGCAGCUUCGUAAUUAUGUGCCCCAAAAAAUUGUGACAUUCUUUUUAUAUUUGUACUAUAAGCUUUUUUUUUUUCUGACGUCCCUGCGAGGAAUAGCUGCUUGUCGUUGGAGGUC